rnacentral:rRNA from 1 species
UACAGAGGUCUCAAGCGUUGUUCGGAUUCAUUGGGCGUAAAGGGUGCGUAGGCGGCGCGGUAAGUCGGGUGUGAAAUCUUGGAGCUUAACUCCGAAACUGCAUUCGAUACUGCCGUGCUUGAGGACUAGAGAGGAGACUGGAAUUUACGGUGUAGCGGUGAAAUGCGUAGAUAUCGUAAGGAAGACCAGUGGCGAAGGCGGGUCUCUGGACAGUUCCUGACGCUGAGGCACGAAGGUCAGGGGAGCAAACGGG